GAAACAGGGGCACACCAGGCCAUCACCAGCCUGCCUGCCGUCUGCCUCAGCUCCCGGGCCCUUUGUCUCUGCAGUAUUUGUCUCUGAGGCAGCAAGCAGCUCUCCUGCAAACAGUUGGCCCUGGAGGGCUGGAUGGAUGGCGUGGCUGGUGCUGAAGAGGCAGAUGGCUUGGUUCAUUAGGAGCAGGCCAUAUGUCCAUCAGAUGGGCAUGUCCAAAACUCACUAAUUUGGACAAACCAGCUCAUUCAGAUUGGCGAGUGUUCACCGAGCCAUGGUGCUAGGGGCUGGAGAUUUGAAGGCUGGUGGCAUCUCCCCCUCAGCACGUCAGCAUCUGUCCUGAAAGGAAAUUCUAUUGCUUUGUCGAGUCAUGAGCAGCCAGGUUUCUCCCUUACGUUGCUAGGACAUCUCUUAAUUAAAAAACAAAAACAAUUUACAACAUGA
rnacentral:lncRNA from 1 species